rnacentral:lncRNA from 1 species
GUAUCAGCCGCGCUCUCGCUCUACUGCAAAGCCCUGGAGUACUUUGUGCCUGCUCUGCACUGUGAGUCGAUUCCUGUCCAGCCCCGAUGUGGGGCAGCGGAGGGGGCCGUGGGGCGGCUGGCUGCACCAGGGCACGCUUCCCUGCAGAGGAGGAGCAGGCACUGGGAGAACUGGGGUGGUGUAAUGGAGGGGGGGACAUGGGAAGAGGUGAGCGCUCCCCGCAGAGGGGAAGGGGCUCGUUUUCACGUGGGCCGCUGCGAGGCCCCUGGUUUGCAGCCAGCCCAGCCCGGGAUAACCCRGGGGCUGUGUGAGCCCCUCGCGAGCGCUGGCCUCUGCUGUUUGAUCGCUCUUUYCCCCAGAUGAAAGCGAUGCUCGCCGGAAGGAAGCCAUCUGGGCAAAGGUGGGGCAGUACAUCUCCCGAGCGGAGGAGCUGAAAGCGCUGGUCCUGUGCGACAGCAAGUGUCUUCUGCAGCAAGGCAACCCUGCCCGGGAGAUCCUCAAAGAGAUGGCCAAGGACAAGCCUCGUCUCUGUGCUGCGCUGGAAAUGGCUUCUGCAGCCAUUGCUAAGGAGGAGGAGGGCAAGGACGACGGUGACACCCUGGAGCUCUACCAGCAGAGCCUGGGCGAGCUGCUGCUCAUUCUGGCUGGUGAGUUGUGGCGGGGGGGGUCAGGGUGGGUGGAGGCCAGYGCUGCGGCCGGGGCUGCUCCUGCGCCUGGCGCACACGGCUGACAGCGCGUCUUCCCUCUCCAGCAGAGCCUGCGGGGAGGAGACGGGAGCUGCUCCACGCGGAGGUAAGUGCCAGCAUGCUUUUUUGGCACGGGGGGUCAGGCAGGCUGGGCACGCUGGGGGUUGGCAUCUCU